rnacentral:piRNA from 1 species
UCCAUCAAACAGCCUUAUAGGAUCUUGAGC